rnacentral:rRNA from 1 species
AGGAUUCCCCUAGUAACUGCGAGUGAAGCGGGAAAAGCUCAAAUUUAAAAUCUGGCGGUCUUUGGCCGUCCGAGUUGUAAUCUAGAGAAGUGCUAUCCGCGCUGGACCGUGUACAAGUCUCCUGGAAUGGAGCGUCAUAGAGGGUGAGAAUCCCGUCUUUGACACGGACUACCAGGGCUUUGUGAUGUGCUCUCAAAGAGUCGAGUUGUUUGGGAAUGCAGCUCAAAAUGGGUGGUAAAUUCCAUCUAAAGCUAAAUAUUGGCGAGAGACCGAUAGCGAACAAGUACCGUGAGGGAAAGAUGAAAAGAACUUUGGAAAGAGAGUUAAACAGUACGUGAAAUUGCUGAAAGGGAAACGCUUGAAGUCAGUCGCGUUGGCCGGGGAUCAACCUUGCUUUUGCUGGGUGUACUUUCCGGUUGACGGGUCAGCAUCAAUUUUGACCGUUGGAUAAAGUCUAUGAGAAUGUGGCUCCUUCGGGAGUGUUAUAGCUUGUAGUCGCAUACAACGGUUGGGAUUGAGGAACUCAGCACGCCGCAAGGCCGGGUACUUGUACCACGUUCGUGCUUAGGAUGCUGGCAUAAUGGCUUUAAUCGACCCGUCUUGAAACACGGACCAAGGAGUCUAACAUGCCUGCGAGUGUUUGGGUGGAAAACCCGAGCGCGUAAUGAAAGUGAAAGUUGAGAUCCCUGUCGUGGGGAGCAUCGACGCCCGGACCAGACCUUUUGUGACGGAUCCGCGGUAGAGCAUGUAUGUUGGGACCCGAAAGAUGGUGAACUAUGCCUGAAUAGGGUGAAGCCAGAGGAAACUCUGGUGGAGGCUCGUAGCGAUUCUGACGUGCAAAUCGAUCGUCAAAUUUGGGUAUAGGGGCGAAAGACUAAUCGAAC